rnacentral:lncRNA from 1 species
AAAGGCUGUACGUUCCCAAGCAAGAGAGAAGGAGCCGAUCUAACACAAGGGUGAUCCGGAUGGACUGAUCUAAUCAACCAAGGGAUCUGAACUGGAACUGUAUGAUGGGAUGAAGUGCACCACACGAGAGAUGGGGAGGCUCGUGAUACAACACAAGGUUCCUCUAGGCCGUGGAGGUACUGGUCUCACAAGGCAAAGAGAAGGAGGCGAGUUCUAGCUUGAGAGCUCUAGGGUUUUCUUUAAAAGAAAAGUUUAUGAUUAUUCAAAGUCUGCCCCAAAAGUGGGCUUGCGAAAACAUAUAAAUAGGACUAAGGGAACAGGCUCCACUUAGGUCACGAAAGUACAAAUAAGGAAACAAACUAUAAUGUAAAACAUGAAAUAAGGUCAUGAGGCUUCUUAGCCUUGGAUCGAACUUGGCACUUGGGAUAAGUGUGAAGCAAGUUGUGGCCUCGUUAAAAACCUUCUCUGGAAAACCCAUUUGGGACAAAACCAAGAGUAAGGGAAAAAGAGCACACACAAAGAGCUUGGCCUAGUUGCUAGAUUCGUCCAAGAGACUUGCUAGGCAAGUUGAUCUUCCAUGGUAAUGAUCAUCAGGUUGGUGUGGCAUUGCUCCGGGAUGAAUGGCCACAUAUCCUCACUUGAUGCUUGUUUCUCCUUAACCGGUUCUGCAUCCUUUAGUUCAUCUUGCUUCAAGCUUGGUUCACCAGCCAGUUUAACCUGUCCAAGAUCAGAAGCAAGUAUCAUGCUCUCAUUAAAUUUAUGUUGAAGUACCUUAGCUCUUUGUCUAGUGAUAGCUCCCUUGAAUACGGUUGGUACUGGCACUUCUUGGACUGUCUCUGAUUUGGUUAUGUUGCUGAUCAUGUCCUGGAUAUCAGGUUCAGUUAAGUCUGGUUCCGGCUCUGGUUGAAUAUCCUCAUCAUUCCCUCCCUCUUCAAAAGGUUUUGACCUCAAAACUGGUUCAUCUGCAAAACAAGGAGAUAGAUCAGUAACAUUGAAAGUAGAAGACACAUUCAACUCACCUGGCAGAUCAAGACGGUAGGCAUUGUUGUUGAUCCUCUCAACAACUUGAAAUGGGCCGUCCCCUCUUGGCUUCAGCUUGGAACUUCUCUGGUUAGGAAACCUUUCUUGCCGCAUGUGUAACCAAACCCACUCCCCUGGUUCAAAUACAAUGUCCUUGCGGCCCUUGUUGGCAUGUUUAGUGUACUGCUCAGUCCUCUUCUCUAAAUUCUCUUGAACCUUCUGAUGGAGUUCUUUGACAUAAGCAGCUUUAGCUUCCCCGGUAAGACUGACAACUUCAGCUGGGGGUAAUGGUUUAAGAUCCAAAGGGGUUUUCGGGUUGAACCCAUAGGCUGCCUCAAAGGGGGACAUCUUAGUGGCUGAAUGCUGAGCUCGGUUGUAUGCAAAUUCGAUGAAUGGAAUACAAUCAACCCAAUUCUUCAUGUUCUUCCCAAUGGUUGCCCUAAGCAGCGUAGAGAGCGUCCUGUUGACAACUUCAGUCUGCCCAUCAGUUUGGGGAUGGCAAGUAGUAGAGAAUAGCAACUUUGUUCCCAACUUCUUCCAUAGUGUUCUCCAAAAGUGGCUGAGGAACUUGGUGUCUCGGUCAGAUACAAUAGUCCUUGGCACCCCAUGUAAGCGCACUACCUCCUUAAAGAACAGAUCAGCAGUUUUGGACGCAUCAUUCACCUUGGCACAAGGUAUGAAGUGUGCCAUUUUGGAGAAUCUGUCCACGACAACAAAGAUUGAAUCCUUGUGAUGAAUUUUUGGUAAUCCUAGGACAAAAUCCAUGGAGAUGUCUACCCAAGGAGCUGUAGGAAUCGGCAGUGGCAUGUAAAGGCCAUGAGGCUGGACUCUAGACUUAGCCUUCUUGCAAGUCACACAUCUGGCGCAAUGAGAUUCUACUGAUUUCUUAAGAUGCGGCCAAUAGAAAUGUUCCCUGACCACAGCAAGUGUCUUAUCUACUCCAAAGUGACCCAUGAGCCCUCCUCCGUGAGCCUCUCUAGUGAUUAGAUCUCUCAAGGAGCAUUGAGGAAUGCAUAAUCUCCUGCCCUUGAAAAGAAAUCCCUCAUGCAAGUAGAACUUUCCUUGUGGUCCUUUGGUGCAACUUGAGUAGAUAGCAGCAAGAUCCGGAUCUUCUCCGUACAAACUUUUGAUGAACUCAAAUCCCAACACCUUUGCUUCCAUGGUUGCAAUCAAAGCAUAUCUCCUGGAGAGUGCAUCUGCUACAAUGUUCUCCUUGCCCUUCUUAUACUUGAUAAUGUAGGGAAAUGUCUCAAUAAACUCUAACCAGCGAGCAUGUCUCCUCUUGAGAUUGGUUUGCCCUCUUAGAUGUUUAAGGGUUUCAUGGUCAGUGUGUACCACGAAUUCUUUAGACAGCAGGUAGUGCUGCCAUGUCUCCAAAGCUCUCACCAAGGCAUACAACUCUUUAUCAUAGGUCGGAUAAUUAAGAGCUGCUCCACCAAGCUUCUCACUGAAGUAAGCCACGGGUUUUCCUUCUUGAAUAAGAACUGCCCCUAUCCCAAUCCCUGAUGCAUCACAUUCUACUUCAAAGGUCUUAUUGAAGUCGGGUAAGACCAGUACUGGUGCAUGGGUCAGGCGAUACUUCAAGGUCUGAAAGGCUUCCUGUUGAGCUUUUUCCCAAAUGAACCCAAUACUCUUCUUCACCACAGCAGUAAGGGGUGCAGCUAUACUACUGAAAUCCUUGACAAACCGCCUGUAGAAGCUAGCUAGGCCAUGGAAACUUCUAACUUGGCUGAUGUUUGUUGGAGUCGGCCACUCUUGAAUGGCCUUAACCUUCUCUUCAUCAACCUGUAAGCCCUGUGAACUCACAACAAAACCUAGGAAGACAAGUUUAUCAGUGCAGAAUGUGCACUUCUUGAGGUUUGCAUAAAGCCCUUCUUGUCGAAGUGUCUCUAGUACUUGCUCAAGAUGUGUCACAUGAUCAAGUAAACUAGUACUGUAAAUUAAAAUGUCAUCGAAAUAAACCACAACAAACUUACUGAUGUAUGGCCUAAGAAUGUGGUUCAUGAGACGCAUGAAAGUACUAGGAGCAUUGCUAAGUCCAAAUGGCAUCACCAACCAUUCAUAUAGACCUUGCUUUGUUUUAAAAGCUGUCUUCCACUCAUCUCCCUCUUUCAUUCUUACCUGAUGGUACCCACUCUUAAGAUCAAUCUUGGAGAAGAUGGUGGCUCCGCUUAGCUCAUCUAACAUGUCAUCAAGCCGUGGGAUGGGGUGUCUAUACUUGAUGGUGAUGUUGUUGAUGGCUCGGCAGUCUACACACAUUCUCCAUGUCCCGUCCUUCUUUGGUACAAGUAAGACAGGCACAGCGCAAGGACUGAGACUCUCCCUCACGUAUCCUUUGUCUAAUAGGUCCUGCACUUGUCUCUCCAACUCCUUAGUCUCUUCCGGGUUCACCCUAUAAGCCGGUUUGUUUGGCAGGGCAGCUCCUGGCACAAAAUCUAUCUGGUGCUCAAUGCCUCGGAGUGGGGGUAAACCGUGCGGAAUCUCCUCUGGAAACACAUCUUUGAACAUGUCAAGAAGCUUAGUAAUCUCUGGAUGAAGAGUUAACUCAUCAGAACCUGCACUCAAAAGCUCCUUAAAGAUCAUUAGUAGCAUUGUGUGUUUGGUAGUAGCAGCCUUUCUUACACAGCUAGAACGGAUAAGAAAGUUUGAUUUAACAGACUUUUCCUUUUCCUUAACCAUUUGCAAAUGAAUUUCAUGAACUUGUGUUGGAGUGAGAGGCGCUAAGCUUAUCUUACGCUUAUCAUGCAUGAAUGUAUACAUAUUAGUUCUACCAUCAUGCUUAGUUUCUCUAUCCCACUGCCAUGGUCUUCCUAGCAAUACAUGUCCAGCUUGCAUAGGGACUACGUCACAAACUACUUCAUCUUGAUACUUACCAAUGCUAAAUGGAAUGCUCACUUGUUCCUUAAUUUUAAGCUCAACCUUAUCAUCUAACCACCUUAGCCUAUAUGGAUGCGGAUGCUUUGUCUUUUCUAAACCAAGUUUUUCUACCAUGUAAGCGCUAGCAGCAUUGGUACAAGACCCACCAUCUAUAAUAAGGUUACAUACCUUGCCUUUUAUGGUGCAACGGCUGUGGAAUAUGUUUUCUCUUUGGAUUGUCUCGGCGGGUUGAACUAAGACGCUAAGCACACGUCGGAUCAUCAAGCUCUCUCCCACAUCAGCAUAUUCAACUUCUCCAUACUCUUCUUGAAUCUCAGGUACUUCUCCUUCAUCACGAGAUUCAUAGCCAUCAUCGGUGAGCAGCAUAACCCUCUGGUUUGGGCACUCUCUUGCCAUGUGCCCUCGGCCUCUACAUUUGAAACAGGUGAUGUCUCUGGCACGUUGGGGGUUGGUAGCUUUGGCUGGCUCGGUUUUGUUGUCCUUCGUGGGUUCGGUGGUGCGAGGCUUAGGCCGGCUGUCUCCUUCAACCCCUUUUCCUUUGUCCACCGACUUGUUGUAGUUGCUAUUGCUUGAAUUCCAAGAAACUUGAGACUUGCCCUUGGAGCUCUUCUUCUUGAUGUGUUGUUCAGCUUGGAUAGCUAGAUGGAACAGGUCCUUCAUGUCAGCAUAAACAUGUCUCUCCACCUUGCAGCUUAUCCUCUCCUGUAAACCAUCAAGGAAUUGAGCCAUGGUAGCUUCCUCAUCUUCAUUAAGGUCCAAACGGUUUCUUAAUUUCUCAAACUCUUCAUAGUACUCUUCCACUGACUUGCUGCCUUGCUUGAGUGCCCGUAACUUCCUUUGCAAGUCUCUGUGAAAGUGUUGUGGCACAAACCGUUGCUUCAUCGCAUCUUUCAUGUCUAGCCAAGAGUCUAGUUGCCUCAAUCCGUUCCUUCUCCUAUCGGAGCACAAUCUAUCCCACCAGGAAAGUGCAUUGUCCGUGAGCUGAGCUACUGCCAAAGCAACUCUUUUAGGACCAGGGUGGUUAUAGUAGGCAAAAAUGUGAUCCAUCCUUUUCUCCCAGUCUAGGUAAGCUUCUGGAUCAACCUUCCCCGCAUAGCCGGGAGCAUUCAUCUUGAUGUGCUCUGGCCCUUGGUUAUAGUUUUGUUGGCGUGGGGCUCGGUGUUGAGGUAGGAGUUCCUCUUCUUCAAACCCUUGGUGCCGGUUUUGCCUGCGUGGAGCUCGGGGUUGAGGUGCAAACCCUUCCUCCUCUUCUUCUUCACCAUAGUCAUCUGGUGGCAACCCUGCUCUCUGGUUUGGUAUUGGACCGUGCUGCUGUCCCGUGUCUUCAUCAGUCUGCUGGUUCCGGGUGCUAGUCUCCGGGUUGUCAUGGACGGGCACUCCAUAUCUUCUGUUGUUUGGAUUCAAGAACCUAUCAACGUUCCGUACUGGUUGCAAAGGAGGAGGUCUUUGCUCAACUCUAGUCAUCCUUUCCCCAAGGUCUUGCCGCAUAACCCUCAUCUCUUCUCUCAAAGCGUUGAGGACUUGCAUCAUGGUAGCUUGCUCACUCGCUUCUCCCAUGUAUGCGGUUGAGUUGUACCUUGCAAGAUAAACAAGAGAUGCCUUAGCUUUUCAAUAGGUAAAUAAGAAAGAAAACGAGAAAGAAAAGAUACAAAUUUCCUUUUUUUGUUUUUUUUUAUAAAUUCGAAUAGGCAAUAGACACUAAUAAAAGCUGUAGUAGUAAUAGAAUUGGAAAGACUUGGAAAAGGUGAUCGACCGGGAAGGAAACAAUUUGAAAACUCUUUGCAAAAAUGGAAACCGAAUUAUGCAAUCCUAGCAACACGUUUUUAUUUUUUUUUUUUUUUUUUGACUUGAUGAAGAUUAAAACUAAGCAGAACAGGAUGUAACAAUCGGAUGCAAGCAAGAUGUGAAGAAAACAACUAAGUGCAACAAUGAAACGCGAUCUCUUUAUUUGGUUUUAUGAUUUCAUGAAAGCAGAAACAAUGAAUCACAAAUCGGAUGCAAAUAGAAGAGACAAGGAUAGAUAUAACCUGAUGCUGAAGGAACUUCAGCUCUGAUACCAGAAAUGAUACAAGCCUAAGCUAUCAAAGGCUGUACGUUCCCAAGCAAGAGAGAAGGAGCCGAUCUAACACAAGGGUGAUCCGGAUGGACUGAUCUAAUCAACCAAGGGAUCUGAACUGGAACUGUAUGAUGGGAUGAAGUGCACCACACGAGAGAUGGGGAGGCUCGUGAUACAACACAAGGUUCCUCUAGGCCGUGGAGGUACUGGUCUCACAAGGCAAAGAGAAGGAGGCGAGUUCUAGCUUGAGAGCUCUAGGGUUUUC